UCAAUAAGUAAGUGUGAUGAAAUAGUCUGAAGGAGGGAAAUAUGUUAAUUUGCAAAUAACCAUCCUUUUAAUGAAUCAACCUUCCUCUGUUAGCAAUGAUCAUUCUUCCACUAACGAGUUUCCUGAGCAUAUAAAACAAGAAGACAAAAUCAGGGAUCUCUACUUUACCUUAUCGAACCCUUAUAAUCAGGCUUUUGCACCACUAGUGGAAAAAUGCUCUUUUGCUACAUUACAAAUGCUUUGGUUUUUAUAAAAAUGGAGCAUUUGAAAUUACAAAAUUGAGAAAUAAAAGAAAAAAGAACGCCAAAUUUAACAUUUUAGUCAAAUGCUCCGUUCAAACGGAGCAUUUGAGUCAUUUAACCCGUUCAAGUUAUACCCUCUCCACUCAUUAUCUCCUCGUUGCUUUAAAAAAAAAAACCUUUAACGCCUCAUUUUUUCAACCCCUCAAAUCCCUAAUUUCCCACCUCCCUUCUCUCCAACGCCUCCCUUCUCGCAACUUCCUUCGCGCACUGAAAACCUUAGAAAUCCGAUAAUCAGCGACGACGAGGGUGAUGAUAACGACGUUGAUGAUGAAGAAGAUAAUGAUUGAAGGUCGUGGAAACAAGUUGCUCAUAUUGUGUAUAAGGUUCAAGGAAGAGAUCGGUAUAUGUCAAGUUUGUAGCGGAGCAGCUGGGUUUAGAUGGUUCUUAUGUUUCACGUACUUACAUAGAACAAAUCCAGCUGGAGAAGCUUGUAAACGAUGUCUUGGCUUUGCCAGAUGAUUUGAAGAGUAAGCUCGAUCAGCAUAGAUGAUGAAGUAGUUUCUAGUCCUAAAGAAGCACUUUCUCGAGCUUCGACAGAUUCGAGAGUCAAAUAUCUUUACGAUUCUACUGCAUCCCAUGUUAAGAUAAGGUGUUAUCACUUCUACCUUUUCUUUUUUCCAUUUUUUUGGGGCUUGAGUGAAACAUCUCCUGUCAUAAUUUGACAGCAUUGUUGCUGCUUAGCAUUGUUGUUGUAUUUUAGGUUUUUUUUUUGUUUUUUCAGGAUUUUCUCUGAUUGAAAGACUUUCUCUCUCACCUCGAUUCGCCAUUCUGGUAUUAGAUUCCCUCAUGAUAUUUGUGAUUAGGGUUUCAGAACUUUCUGUUUUCUCUCAUGUUUCUCAAAUUCAUCGCGAAAGAAUCUGUCAAUAAAAAAAUACCUUUGAAAAUUGUAGAAUAGCCUAGCAGCAAGAAGGUGAUGCAAUCUGAUAGUGAUGAAAUUAACUUGAAAAACAACACUUCAUGCAAAUAGUUGGUUAUCAUUAAGUGUUUAACUUGUUUACUUUUAUUUAUCAAACCCUUGCUAAUGAAGGAUUAGUAGCGUGUGAAAGAUCAGUUUUUAGUACUUAAAAAGACUAGAUGUCAAUAUAAUUAGAAAAUUAGAUGAUUGGGCUAGAAUUUGUUGAUGAUGAAUAAUUUUCUGAGAAAGAUACAUAAAUCUAGAAUCUUGUUUAUGAAAAUUGAUGAUGUAGUGUUUUGAGUAAAAGUGUAUUAAAGCACACCGCAUAUCUGAUGCUACUCUCAGUGUACUCACUUGUAUGAUUGUUUGGUUUGUGAUAGUGUUAUACUAGUCUAAUUGUUCUGUUCAUUGACUAGCUAGACUAUGAUGAAUGUUAAAGCUCAAUUUUUAUUUACUUCUCUGAUUUAAGGUCACAAUGAUCGAACUAAAACCUUCAUUUUUGUCUCUUCAAACCCACAAAUCUUCCCCUCUAUGACGUGGUGUUUUUGGUGCUGUUGGAGGGCGGUACCGCCCUCGUCAAGCUGCAGUGAAUGCUGCUGCUCCUUUGAUGCAGUUGCCGAAGUUCUUCCUGCUCUAGUGCAGCAGCAGUUCUUCCUGCUCUAGUGCAGCAGCGGCUCUUCCUUGGAGAUUUUUCUCCUUCAACUCGCAUUGCUUUUCUGAGUUUGUUAUGGACCAAAAGGCUCAUGAAGCUAUAUUGAAAGUGCUCAAUCUUUAUGGGGUCGCAAAGGAGCCCGUGCUAGAUGAAUGGACUAGGAGAGCUCAACUUUGUGCCAUGUUGUAUGAGGCUGUAGGUUUCAAUUGACUUGUAGCUAUCUUGUCCAGUAUAAUUAGAGCAUCUUUGGAUUCUAUUUAUUUAUUUUUUGAACUUAUAAGUUCGGUUAGUUUGUACUUGAUGCAAUUCAGAUGUUUGUCUUUUAAGAAGGGAGUUUGACUAUUUGAAGCA